AUCCUGCUUUGGCCAAAGACUUUCGAGUCAACGACCUAUGAGAUCACAUAGGAUGUUUGCUCUCCUUAUUAGGAGUGACUGAUUUCUUAUUAAUCAGUCACAACCUUCAUGCACUCUUCACCAUAUCCAGAACACCCCAUACAAAGAUCAGAGAGCCAAGUUAGGUAGUGAACCAAAAUAUGAAUCCAAGUACAUAAGGUACCAUGGUGACCUCAAGUCUAAGGAUCACUUACACAACUCCCACUAGAGAAUCAUCAGUUGAUAUGUAAAUAAUACUUCAUCUGAUAUUCUGUCGUAGGUCAAUUUAGUGAACUCAUUCU
rnacentral:lncRNA from 1 species